rnacentral:pre_miRNA from 9 species
UCUCCAUAGUGUAAAAGUUAAUUCGAAUAUGUAUGGAGUUGGAACAUUUGCCUACGUUUGCCGCUAGGGGCGCUUUUUCAACUGCAUACAAAUUUGAGUUAACCUUUACGCUAUCGA